rnacentral:rRNA from 1 species
AUGACAAGGGACGUGUUGGUGCUUAGGUUUGGAUUAUUGCUGCCACAAAAGGCAGGCUCCAAUUGUCUCCUUAGUAAUUCUGACAACAUGGAAGUCACUUACACAAUGAACAACGAAGGACAUUCUGCAGGAGCGGCGGCGACAGUUUUUGAUGAUUGCUAUUUUAUGGCUUGUGAUUUUCCUCUUACUAGGUUUGAACAUUGUAAUAGGGAAGCAAAUAAAGUAGCUCAUGAGCUCGCUAGGUUAGGAAAAAAUUUGGUGACAAGGGAUUGGUUCGAGGAGCCUAUGGGAAAUAUUGUACCCUUUCCUAUUGAUGAUGUAACCAUUGUUUCUAAUUAA